UCUUUAUUUGUUUGUUAUUUAAUCUGGGCUCAGCAAAGGCCAAGAGUCCUAGGAAAUGGCAUUUGUUGUUGCCUUUGGCCAUAUGAUGAAACCAGCACUGCCAAGUCUUUUCUUCUGUCUCUCAGAAGAACAUAGAAGUUAUCAUUCUAUUUACCUGAAAGCUCUUGAUUGUUGCUGAUUUCUUUUGUAGUAAGAAUGUCAUGGAGCCCCAAGAUCAAAAACUAUAAAGGACCGGAGGGAUCAUUUAAUCCUAUUCUCUCAUUUUACAGAUGAGGGCGUGAAGUGUUCAAAAUCAUUGUGAGUUAUCCAAGGUCACAUGAUUUGUUACAGAACUAUGAUUCAAAUGAGGGGGUCUUCUCUUUCCAAAGCCUCUGUUCAAGCCUUUCAAACACAUUACCUUUCUUUCUACAUGAAUUUGAUCCACUUUCUCUGAGGGCAUGCCAAUUUGGUUAAAGAUUUUGAAUUAAGCCAAUAAUUUAUUGCCAAUAAUUUAAGACUAUGUCUUAAAUAUUAUAAGAUAUUAUAGCAGAAAGCAGAUGAAUCUGCAGUCAUGGGACUUGGGUCUUAAUACCAGUUCAAUCACCAAAUCAUUUAUCCUCUCUGAGCUUCAGUUUACCUAUUUGUAAAAAUUAAAGAGUUAGACAAACUGACCUGUAGCUUUAACCCCAAUCAUCUAAGGAUUGUUAUUAUCAAUAACAGUAAACAAUUACAUGGGAGACCACAUGAUAGUAUAUAGAAGACUAAUCUUAGACACAGAAGUAGGAGGUUCAAAUCCUAUUUUUGACCCCAGAACUGACUUUGUGACUCUGGAAAAGUCAUUUAACCUCUGUUAUCGAUGAAUUGCACCAAUGGUUGUAUUAUCCUUAUGUAGAGGAGCAGUUCCCUAAAUAGAUUCACAUAUAGUCUCUUAAAAAGAAAAUAAAAAAGCUACCCAUCCCAUAGGAUUAGAGGUAACAUUAUGGUAGUAGCAUGAUGUUGUGGAAAGGACACAAGAUUUUGGAGUCAAUGGACCCAGAUUCAAUUCAAUCCAGACCCUGCCUCUGUCGAUUAUAAUCCAGAAGUCCUCUUCAACUUUUCUGGUCCUCAGUUCUCAUCGGUAAAAUGGCAGGGGCAAUACUUAUUUUGUGAGGCCUAAAUGAGAAAAGAAAGCAUCUUGAAAAUGGUAAAAUGCCAUGUUAAUAUACAUAUUUUAAUGUGAUAUGUUAAGCCUAUGGAUAUUAUUUGUAAUAUACUACAGUAUAAUAGUGAUUCACUUUUAUUAAUUUUGUUACCACAUUUACAAAGUACUUUAACUUUUAAAUUCAAUUUGUGUUUGCUCAGUCUGGUCUUUCCUCUUACAGAUGAAGAAAGUGAGUUCCCAGGUAGUUAAGUGAUUCUUCUAAGGUCACAAACAUAAGUAGCAAAGCCAGAAUCUGGGAACCAGGACCCUUGAUUCCAAAAUCAACAUUAUUGCUCCAAUUUUUGUGAGUUUAGUUUUCAGAAAGAUAGGGGAAAUGGAGGGAGGGAAGGAGAUAGAGAAAGAAGAAAAACAGAGACAGAGAGACAAUGAAGCAUAGAUGGAGACAAAAACAGAGAGAUGGUCAUAAAGAGGAAGACAGAAAGAAAAAGAGAAUGAAAGAGACAGAGAGAUAGUCACAAAGAGAUAGAUACAGAGAGAUUGAGAGAGAAGUGGAUAGAUGGAGAGAGAAAUACAGAGACAGAGAUGAGACUGGGAUAGAGGUGAAUAGUUGGGAGGGAGAAAGACAGAGACAGAGACAGUGACACAGACACAUACAGAGGGACAAUGAGGCAGAGAUGGAGGCAAAGACAGAAAAACAGUUAUAAAGAGGAAAACAAAGAAAUAGACUGAGAGAGACAGAGAGGAGAGAGACAGAUAGGGACAAAGAGAAAGAUACGUAGAUUGAGACAGAGGUAGAUGGAGAGGGAGAUACAGUACAGAGAUAGAUGGAGACUGGGAUAAAGGUGAAUAGACUGGGAAGGGGGAGAGAGAGACAGAGAUAGACACAGACACACAGAGAGACAGAGGCAGUGACACAGAGACACACAGAGACAAAAAAUGAGGCAGAGAUGAAGCAAAGAAAGUCACAAAGACAAAGACAGAGACUGAAAGAGACAGAGAGGGGAGAGACAGAGAGAUAGUGACAAAGAGAAAGAUAUAUAGAUUGAUUCAUACCUAGAUAGAUGGAGAGAGAGACAGAAACAGAAAGAAAGACAAAGAGACAGAGAUAGAGACACACACACAAAGAGACAGAAACAGAGACAGUCAAAAAGACAAGACAGACAGAAGUGGAUAGAUGGAGAGAGACAGGGACAAAUAAAGAGACAGACACAGAGAGACAGCAAUAGAGACAGUGACACACAGAGAGACAAAGAGAUGGAGACAAAGACAGUUACAAAGAGGAAAACAGAGAAAGAGACAGAGACUGAGGUAGAUAGAUGGAGAGAGAAAAAGUCAGAGACAGAAAUAGAAAGAAAGACAAAGAGAGGUGGAGAUAGAGACAGAGGCACACAGAGAAACAGAGAGAGACAGAGAGACAGAGACAGAAUCAGAGACAGAGAGACAAACUUAGAGAUGGAGAAACAGGACAGAGUUAGAAAAAAAGACAGAGAAACGAGAGAGACAGAGAGGAAGAGAGAUCUUUCCAAUGAUUCAUUUCUUUUUCAAAAGUUGCUUGCCAAAGUCUGCAGAGUUCUCUAGCCAUCUCAUUUCUAUUCAGGCAGAGGAAAGACUGGACAUGAUCCUUUAAUCCCUAGGUGAUGUGGCCCUCACUUCCCCAGUCAGACAAUGACGCUAUUUGAUUAGGCGAUUUGGCAAUUAGUCACGUGCCCAGUUCAAAAGUGACUCCUCUGUAAUGUACAUUCUGACUAACCGGCGGCUAAGCCGUUUCAUUGUGAUCUCGGUGUCAGUGGAAUUCUUGACACCUAUCCAACGGUUAAGUCAUGUUGCAUAAUUGCCAGAUGACAUCACCAACCUACGAGGUGAUUGGCCAGAGAAGAAAAGACAGCCCCCUAAAAGUUUCCCGGACUAUCGGCCUUUCCGGCGUCUGAACGAAAAACUGCUUGUCCCGGGACUCUGCGACAGCCAGACUGCGUUUAUCUGACGUGGUUUCUGCUCCUUGUCGGGGUUUUUGGGGUGACAUUGAAAACCUCAGACAGCACGAGAUGAGGCCGGCAGGCAGCUCCGGGGGAGACUCGGAUUCUCUCACAUCCCUAAUUGUUAGAACGGUCGACUCUUCUCCUUGAGGAGGGCCAAAGCCAAUCUUUGAGAGACUCCGGGAAAUCUGUAUAAGCAUCAUUCUGUCUCCAUGAUGAAGAGAGUGGGUUGUUCAUUAUUUACCAGCACAUGGCUGAUUCAUUUCUUCCAACAAUACAUCUACUUCUCUAUCAUUGGACAAGAAUCUCUCA